rnacentral:hammerhead_ribozyme from 1 species
AUCCUGAUGAUGAGUCCCAAAUAGGACGAAAUGCGCAUCCUGGCUGGAU